rnacentral:rRNA from 1 species
UACGGGGGGGGCAAGCGUUGUUCGGAAUUACUGGGCGUAAAGGGCUCGUAGGCGGCCAACUAAGUCAGACGUGAAAUCCCCAGGCUCAACCUGGGAACUGCGUCUGAUACUGGAUGGCUUGAAUCCGGGAGAGGGAUGCAGAAUUCCAGGUGUAGCGGUGAAAUGCGUAGAUAUCUGGAGGAACACCGGUGGCGAAGGCGGCAUCCUGGACCGGCAUUGACGCUGAGGAGCGAAAGCUAGGGGAGCAAACGGG